rnacentral:rRNA from 1 species
UACGUAGGCAGCGAGCGUUGUUCGGAGUUACUGGGCGUAAAGAGUGCGUAGGCGGUUUUCUAAGUUUGGUGUGAAAUCUCCCGGCUUAACGGGGAGGGUGCGCCGAAAACUGGAAGGCUUGAGUAUGGGAGAGGUAAGCGGAAUUCCUGGUGUAGCGGUGAAAUGCGUAGAUAUCAGGAGGAACACCUGCGGUGUAGACGGCUUACUGGACCAUAACUGACGCUGAGGCACGAAAGCGUGGGUAGCAAACAGG